GGCGUCGCAAAUACAUAGAGAUCCAUACAAGUCCAGCUGUGAGCUGCAGCUGUCUUGAGAUGAAUAACUCCACCCCCGAGAUCACUAUCAGCACUCCCAUUAGUGAAAUCUAGCCUGGCCUCAUUAUCGAAGAAGCAAGCCCCCUUCCACGCCACCGAUCCGCCCUCCGGCUUCACCGAUCCAACAAACGCCGGCAGUAAAUCGACAGCGCUGUGGAAAUUGUUCAGCACCGGCCACGAGAUCUCCCGCGGCAGCGCCGGCAGCACGUCGUUGAAGCGGAACGGGACCUUGACGGCGC
rnacentral:misc_RNA from 1 species